CAGGAGGCUCUGAGGCCAGCAGGGCUGAAAGCCUGCUCUGCAUUCACUAAGUGUGUGACCUCGGUUUUUAACCCUACAGAUUAGAAGCAUGAGAUACAUUCGCCUUGUUCGGCUACCAUCACCACUACCCUUCUCCAGAGCUCUUUUCCUCCUACAAAACAGAAACUCAGUAUCCACAAUCCCAAACCCAUCUACUGAACUACGACAUUUGGACUGCCUAUGCAGCUACUAAAAGCAUCAAAGUUGAUACAUAUGGAAGUCAAAGACCCUGGCUCACCCACAGCAAAGGUCUUGGAGUUCCACCAGAACAGACUUCUCCAGCUUGCCUUGCAGUUGACCCCUGGAAACUAUCCAAAACUAAGUCUCCCACAGGCACAUUCCUGAUAUGGGCACAUGUGGCUCUCCCGGGAAAUAGCGCCCACUGUAGAAUGAGUUUCCGAUCUUCA